CGGGGUGUGGCGCAGUUGGUAGCGCGCUGUGUUUGGGACGCAGAGGUCCGCGGUUCGAGCCCGCGCACCCCGAC
rnacentral:tRNA from 1 species